GGAGGCGCAACUUGUCCGGUGAUGGGCGCGGUCUUCAAAACCGUUUGCAGGAUUGCGAGAGUAAGCCUGGGUGGGUUCGACUCCCACACGCCUCCGCCA
rnacentral:tRNA from 2 species